rnacentral:lncRNA from 1 species
CUAAGGUGACAGUACUGCCACCCCUGCCCCCAGCAGGGAGCGUGGAGGGAAACAAGCACUGUGGAAUGUUGAGCUCUCUUUCAGAUGUGCUGAGACUGGAGUCCUAGUGAGGUGACCAGACGUGGACGUCCAAGUGGGGCACUUAGCAGAGGCUGCGCUGCAGAGCAGACGUGGCUGUGGACAAGGCCACCUAUGAAAACUGGGAACUGCGAGAAGGGAGAAGGUCAGGGACAGAGCUGGGCUGACCCCAGUGUUUCGGGGGGCCCACAGAAGGGUGCUCAAAGUAGGCGUGAGACACGUGGAGACCCAGGAUGCUUCUGAAGGCUGGAGUGCAAUGGCACAAUCUCAGCUCACUGCGACCUCCACCUCCCACGUUCAAACUAUUCUCC